CUUGGAACCUUUGGUCAUUCGAUGUUUUUCAAAAAGUUUACAUAACUCAUUUUAGCUCCAUAUUUCUCUCAAAUUUUUCAUUCUCUAAAAAGAGCCUCACUACUCUAUUCCAAGCCUUGAGAAUAGCUAGGAAGAUCUCUUGGUGGUCCUCAUUAGAGCUAUUUGAAGAAAUUUGAAAAGCUACAAAGGGGUAGAGAACAGGGUUGAAUCAGCUUUGGUAGCUCAGAACAAAGAAAUGCAAAGAUGAAUUACAAUGGGAAGCAACAACAUAGAUAUAGUAGGGGCAGUGGGAGUUCCAGUGGGAAGUGGAGUGUUUUUAUUGCCACAAGAAGGAGUACGUUAAACGUUUUUGCAGGAAAUUUAAAGAAGAUUUUGAGAAGGGGAACAAUACUAUAGACGUUGUAACAGGAGAAGAACAGAUUGGAUAGUUUUUGGCUUGUGUUCAGAGGAACAUGUCUGUAGACCAGUGGGUAGUGGACACUGCAACAUCAGCGCAUGUUGCUUCAGACAGACUUUGGUUCUCAUCUCUUGCUAUAGGUGAUUAUGGCUUAGUGAAGAUGGGGAAUGAGAGUAUCUCCAAAUUCAGAGGAAUUGGAGAUGUUUGUUUGAAGACAGGCGAAGGUGCCGAGUUAGUGCUACGAGGCGUCAGGUAUAUUCCUAUCUUCAGAUUUAAUUUGUUAUGUGCAGGGAAGCUAGACGAGGAUGGCUACAACAGUGAGUUUGUUGGGGGUUGCUGGAAGCUUAAAAGGGAAUUCAGGGUUGUGGUAACAGGCCACAAGAGAUCUUCUGUUUAUUUGUCUGAGUUUGAGGUUGCCAGGGGAUUUGAGAGACAGAGGAUGUAGAGGGUAUCUGCAGAUGGUUCAGGGCAAGACCUUAUGAUAUGAAACCUAGAAAAUUACAGAUAAAGAACCAUUUCACCUAAGGAGGACCCCUAACUGUCAAUUUCAUAAAACUCAGGUCAAAUAGCCAAUCCCAAGGAAAGAUUAGACGAAGAUUACCUUGAUGAUCGAAGACCAAGAGUGGAGCUCGCUACUGUUCGGAUGCUAUAAUCAAAUGCUAGUUGUAACUGUGUAGCCCUUGAACGAGUGAUUGGUCCUGGCGGCAAGGCUAAUGCAUCUUGGCUCAUAUCAUCUUCUCCCCCUUUCGAAGGAUUCGUCCUCGAAUCAAAAUCGUCACCUACAUCAAAAGGAGUCAAGUCAGACACAUUAAAAGUAGCACUCACGCCAUACUUACCUUGGAGGUCAAUUUGAUAGGCAUUGUCAUUGAUUUUCUUCAACACUUGGAAAGGUCCAUCUCCCCUUGGGUUUAACUUAGAAUCUCGCUGAUGUGGGAAUCGUUCCUUUCGAAAGUGAACCCAGACCCAAUCUCCCUCUUUGAAUACAAUAGGCUUUCGGUGUUGAUUGACUCUCGCA